rnacentral:rRNA from 1 species
UAAUACAGAGGGUGCAAGCGUUAAUCGGAGUUACUGGGCGUAAAGGGCGCGUAGGCGGUGAUAUGAGUGUGAUGUGAAAGCCCCGGGCUUAACCUGGGAAGCGCAUCGCAAACGAUAUGACUGGAGUAUAAGAGAGGGUGGCGGAAUUUCCGGUGUAGCGGUGAAAUGCGUAGAGAUCGGAAGGAACGUCAAUGGCGAAGGCAGCCACCUGGCUUAAUACUGACGCUGAGGCGCGAAAGCGUGGGGAGCGAACAGGAUUAGAUACCCUGGUAGUCCACGCUGUAAACGAUGAGAACUAGAUGUUGGUUGGGGAACCAAUCGGUAUCGAAGCUAACGCGAUAAGUUCUCCGCCUGGGAAGUACGGCCGCAAGGUUG